rnacentral:lncRNA from 1 species
AUGGCGACCAGAGGGCAGGAAGCCUGACAGCCUUGUGUGACCAAUCCCAGACCUCCAGCGGCUGCAUCCUUUCCUUCCUCCAACCCACUUCAAGGCUCUUAGUGUGGAUUUUUCUUUUUGGUUUUGCUUUGCAUUUCAGUCAUUUGAGCUGGUGCCUGUCUCCCUGGCCCUCCCUCUCCUUGGGCUCAGGGGGUGUGUCUGGUUUAUCCUUGUCCAGCUGACAGCCUCCACACUGGCCCAUGCACACAGCAGGGAGGGACUCCUCAAAUCCUGUCAUUGAAGGGAGCUGGGGGAGUGAUAACAAGGGCUGAGGAGCAAGGGGGUCCGGUGACUCAGUGCUGAGGGUCUCCUGGACCCUUAUCUACAAAGCUGCUCCUUAGAAGGGUCCAGUGGCACAGCUUCGACCAACGCGGGAGGUGAGGCUUAAGAAGGCAAACACCUUUCAGCUGCUCAAGUUGUGAGCGCUGGCGGCUGAGGCUUCCCAUUUGCCAGCCAUGAGACCUUGGAUGGCUUCUCCCCUCUCUGUGUUUGCUAAGUGAGGAUCAGAGCAUCCUCCUCUUAGGAUUGUGAGGGUUGCCAUCUCCGACUUGAACAUCGGGGCUGAGACGUAAAGUGAGCCCAGUUUCCCUCUCACGCCUCCCGCGUCUGCACCUGCCAAUGCACUGCUUUCUGCAGUGGAGGGCUCUGCUUCUAUUUUAAGGGCCAGGGCUUCUAUGAUUCGGGCUGCCUGAAGGGCCUGGCUGUUCUCAGAACAAUCCAGGCCCCAUGAAAAGCUGUUCUGCGGACGUCACUGGGUGUGGCUCCACCUGCGUAGUUCCCGGAGGAGAGCCGCUUCCAGGAGGCAGUCUUGGCCUUGGCCUCUGUGACCUCACCUCAGGACUCAACAGAUGUCUUUGCUCCGUGGGUAUAAACUUGAGACAUCAGGAAGCUGCAGAUGCAGAACUGGAGGGUAGUGACGUGUUGCUUUCAGAAUACAAAACGAAACUCUAUUUUGAGUCUGAAUUUGAAACACGCGUGUGUGUAUUCUUACUUUCAAGCUCAAGGAUAGACUGUUUAUAA